rnacentral:rRNA from 1 species
AGCUGAAACUUAAAGGAAUUGACGGAAGCGCACACAAGAAAUGGGGCCUGCGGCUUAAUUUGACUCAACACGGUGCAACUCACCCGGCCCGGACACAGGAAGGAUUGACAGAUUAAGAGCUCUUUCUUGAUUCUGUGACAGGUGGUGCAUGGCCGUUUCUAGUUGGUGGAGUGAUUUGUCUGCUUUAUUGCGAUAACGAGCGAGACUCUAGCCUACUAAAUAGACUCUCCGUCUUCUUUCGCGGAGAGGUCUUCUUAGAGGGACAAGCGGUGUUCAGCCGCACGAAACUGAGCAAAAACAGGUCAGGAUGCCCUUAGAUGUUCGGGGCCGCACGCGCGCCACAUUGAAGGAAUCAGCGUGUGCUUUCCCUCUCCGAUAGGAGUGGGUAACCCGUUGAAACUCCUUCGUGCUAGGGAUAGGAAAUUGUAAUUGUUUUCCUUGAACGAGGAAUUCCCAGUAAGCAUUGAGUCAUCAGCUCGUGUUGAUUACGUCCCUGCGCUUUGUGCACACCGCCCGUCGCUAUUAUCGAUGAAUUUUGGAGUGAGAUCAUCGGACUGGCUAAGUURCUKRAWCAUYUAUGUUUUGGUGACUGUGUUGGAAAGAUGACCGAACUUGAAUAUUAGAG